rnacentral:tRNA from 1 species
UGGCUCAGUUGGUAGAGUUUUGCACUUGUAACACAAGGAUUGUGGGUUUGAUUCCCAU